AUUGAACGCUGGCGGCAUGCCUUACACAUGCAAGUCGAACGGCAGCACGGGAGCAAUCCUGGUGGCGAGUGGCGAACGGGUGAGUAAUAUAUCGGAACGUGCCCAGUCGUGGGGAUAACGUAGCGAAAGCUACGCUAAUACCGCAUACGAUCUAUGGAUGAAAGCGGGGGAUCGCAAGACCUCGCGCGAUUGGAGCGGCCGAUAUCAGAUUAGGUAGUUGGUGAGGUAAAGGCUCACCAAGCCGACGAUCUGUAGCUGGUCUGAGAGGACGACCAGCCACACUGGGACUGAGACACGGCCCAGACUCCUACGGGAGGCAGCAGUGGGGAAUUUUUGGACAAUGGGCGCAAGCCUGAUCCAGCAAUGCCGCGUGCAGGAUGAAGGCCUUC
rnacentral:rRNA from 1 species